GGUUGGGAUAGUGUUAAAGAUUAUCGAUUUUGAAAUUUGAGUUGAUUUCUCGACUGGGCUCCCAAUACUGUUUAUUUGUUAGUCGUAAAAAUUGUAUAGUUUUUCAAAUAAUUGGUUUUAAUGAAGACUUAGGGUAAGCUUCGAAAAGUAAAGUUUUUCCAAUAAAGAUACUGGCCGUUCAGGACUCACUCUUUGAGUUGUAGUUACUGAUCGAAAACCGGCAGCGAAAAUUUUCUGUUUUCACUUUCAAAGAAUGUGUGAACUCCAAAGUAAUUCGGCAUUGCAAUGAAAGUCCUCGCUACGAUACGCCGCUACAGCGUAUCAGUCCUAAUUCCGACGAUUGUUGGUGGAUUAAUUUGGGCUGAUUUACGUCACACAGCUCAGUGGAAGGCUGGUCAAGUGGAUCGUCUUGAACAACUAAAGAAAUCUGAUUAGUAUUUGGCUGGAAAUCAACGGUCAACAUGGCAUAUACGAAUUUCUUCGCACAUGUUACCCCAAGAGCGGUAAAGUGGCAUCUCAUGGCCAUAGUGUUUGCUGGCUAUCUGGCAGGCUGCACUCUGGACUACAUCGAAGUGCGGCGCCUGACGCUCUUCAGGGAUAAAUCUGCGCUGUUCUACCGCGAGCUGAAGGAGGGUGAAGAACCAUCCUGGCCUAAGCGGCACAAGUUCUUCGUUUAAACGCCAUCUACUGCCUGUACCAUUUGUAAAUCUCUAUCACUAAAUUGCAAAUUAUC
rnacentral:lncRNA from 1 species